CGGGCCCGCCCCGGGUGCGGCGUGGUGGAAAAUGUUCGCCAGGGGUGGCAAAGAGGCAAUUGAGGAGUUUGCAUCAGCUCUGUGACCAUGGCAGCGGUGUCAGUGCUCAUGAGGAUCAGGAUACACACCCUCUGCUGACCUUGCCCUGCUGAGCUCGCAGGGACCUCCCAAAUCCCGAGGCUGAGUGAGGCAUCAGCAGCUCAAAAAGCAAUGGAACAAAAUGCAGCGAUGACAACUCAGCUCGGAUGUUAAGGAGAAUUUGGACAUUGCAAUUUUUACUGCAAUGGGCUGGAAUUGCAUGGUUGAAUAUUAGGAAAAUAUUAGGGAAAUUCUCUACUUUUCCAUGGCUAUAUCCUGAUUUUUCAGGGAUUUUCCCAGGGAUUGUUCUUUGCCCACUGGAUGCCGCUGUUCCACAGGAAUGUUGCCUCUAUGGAAUCCCUCCAGCACCUCUGUCAGCCACGGAAACCAUCCCAGGGUCAGGAUAUAUGGAUUUAUUAUGAGUUCAGAUGGAUUUUUAGAUGGAUAUUUAUAUGAAUUUUUUAUGGAUUUAUCCCUGUUAACCUGUUUUUUAUUUUCUCCCAAAAAAUUAAAAUUCCUUCAUAUUUUGCAAAC